rnacentral:rRNA from 1 species
GACGAACGCUGGCGGCGUGCUUAACACAUGCAAGUCGAACGGAAAGGCCCUGCUUUUGUGGGGUGCUCGAGUGGCGAACGGGUGAGUAACACGUGAGUAACCUGCCCUUGACUUUGGGGUAACUUCAGGAAACUGGGGCUAAUACCGGAUAGGAGCUCCUGCUGCAUGGUGGGGGUUGGAAAGUUUCGGCGGUUGGGGAUGGACUCGCGGCUUAUCAGCUUGUUGGUGGGGUAGUGGCUUACCAAGGCUUUGACGGGUAGCCGGCCUGAGAGGGUGACCGGCCACAUUGGGACUGAGAUACGGCCCAGUCUCCUACGGGAGGCAGCAGUGGGGAAUAUUGCACAAUGGGCGGAAGCCUGAUGCAGCAACGCCGCGUGCGGGAUGACGUCCUUCGGGUUGUAAACCGCUUUCGCCUGUGACGAAGCGUGAGUGACGGUAAUGGGUAAAGAAGCACCGGCUAACUACGUG